rnacentral:rRNA from 1 species
AUUGAACGCUGGCGGAAUGCUUUACACAUGCAAGUCGAACGAUGAACCUUAGCUUGCUAAGGGGAUUAGUGGCGAACGGGUGAGUAAUAUAUCGGAACGUACCUUGUAAUGGGGGAUAACUAGUCGAAAGAUUAGCUAAUACCGCAUACGCCCUGAAGGGGAAAGUAGGGGAUCUUCGGACCUUACGUUAUAAGAGCGGCCGAUAUCUGAUUAGCUAGUUGGUGGGGUAAUGGCCUACCAAGGCGACGAUCAGUAGCUGGUCUGAGAGGACGACCAGCCACACUGGAACUGAGACACGGUCCAGACUCCUACGGGAGGCAGCAGUGGGGAAUUUUGGACAAUGGGCGCAAGCCUGAUCCAGCCAUUCCGCGUGAGUGAAGAAGGCCUUCGGGUUGUAAAGCUCUUUCGCAAGGGAAGAAAACUUACAUUCUAAUAAAGUGUGAGGCUGACGGUACCUUGAUAAGAAGCACCGGCUAACUACGUGCCAGCCGCCGCUGUAA